GGUUUGAGAAUUAUGGUAAGCAAGGACAGUUGUGUGGAUCAGAUGGCUUGCCUCACUUGAUCGUGAGUGGGGAUUGGAGACACGGGGGUGAGUUCAUCACCCCUGGAAUUCUUUUCCUAUACAUUUCUGGAUGGAUUGGGAGGAGUUGAUUGCCAUCAGGGAUGACAAGAAACCGACUCAGAACGAGAUUAUCAUCGACGUUCCAUUGGCCAAAAAGCUUAUCUGGGGAGGCUUCAUCUGGCCAGUGGCUGCCUAUGGAGAGUACUUGAAUGGGGAACUCAUUUCAGGACAUUGUAUGCGAAGUUCGAGGACCGAUGAUCUUACUCAAUUUGACUUGAAAAUCGAACGAACAUUCAACCUUCGGAGAAGACAACAGUUGGAAACACACCAAAAAGAAAAAAAAGAAAUAAAUGGCAAAUGAAAAUCUGAAUCAAAUAGCCACUGGGGCUACUCUAAGAGCCGCACACCGAAUUUAGAUAUAGCUAAUGAAAACGUGAGGCUCAUGGUUGAAUAUAUGAUUUUACUAGUCGUGAAAAGCCAAUCUAGUGUUAUAUAUCCGGUGUUUGGUUAAGUAAACUUCCACCUGAGAACAGAUGUUAUCAACAUGUUCCAAAAUGCUCUACUAUUCUUUGGAAGAGCUACGGAGAAUCUCAAGACUCAUAUAUCAAGAUUUCUGGACAUAUCUUCAACUAUCAAAUAUCCAGGGAUGUUAAGCGAAGCUAUCAGACUAAGGCUCUAUCCAUACACAUUGAGAGACUCAGUAAGGGAGUACUUAGACACUUGUCCACCGCAGAGCAUCACUACAUAGAACCAACUGAGUCAGAAAUUCCUUAGAAAAGGAUUGCAAAGCUAACGAAUGAGAUUACUACUUUCCAACAACAAGAUUCAGAAUGCUAUUCAGAGGCCUGGGAACAAAUACAAAGGUUUACUUCGGUAAUGCUUACAACUUGGAUUGCAGAAGUGGUUUCAGGUGCAAUACUUGUACAUUGGUCUGAAUCCAAUUAGUAGGGCAAACGUAGACUUUGCAUGCCACGGUUCUAUCACAAAAAGAACCACGGAUCAGGUCUACCAAAUCAUAGAGGAUUUGGCAUUCACCAGUGCACUUUGGCCUACUGAAAGGAGAGUAGAAAGAAAGCUACUGGGGUAUUCGAAAUUGAUUCUUUAACAGCAAUUUCAGCACAAUUGGCAUCAUUGGCAAAGAAGGUAGAUUAGAUGAACACGACCCAACUAGUGGGACCGAGAUGCAAACAUUGUGGAAAGAGCCACGAGAUUGUUGACUAUGUUACUUAUGAUUUCCUUUUGCUCAGACAGUAGAAGAUGUGAACUACACUCAAAACUUUUAAAGGUAACAGUACAAUCUAAAUUCUAAUACCUAUUACCCAGGCUGGAGUAAUCACUUAGGCUUUCAAUGGAGUAAUAAUCAGGAAGCUCAGAUCGUGCCAUAAUAGACCGUACCACCCGAAAUUUAGUAGAAUGAGAAGAAGUUUUCACUAGAAGGUUUGUGACUAAAUUAGUAGAAAUAUCCACUCAACACAUCCAAAGAAUGGAUAAAACCUUGCAAGUUCAAAGAGUUGCCAUCAAGAAUUUGGAAAAUCAGAUGAGACAAAUAGUAAAAGUACUUUCAGAGAAACUACAUGAAGCAUUCCCAGUGAUACAAAGACAAAUCCCAAACAGUAGGUAAUGGUAAUGAAGGUUGUGGUUGAAGAGCAUAUUGAGGCAAUAACUACCUGUAGUGGAGUUUAACUGCCAGAUAUUAAUAUAAAGAGACUAGUUGCUACAAAUGAAAAAGUACAUACGACGUUUGAGGAACAAUUGAAGGAAUUUGAGAAGAACAAAGAAGCAAUAAUAGAAAGAGCAUCAAAGGACCCAAAGUUUAAGGAAAUCGUUCUUACUAAAGAAUUUGUGCUGCCACUACUUUUUUCACAAAGACUACAAAAGAGAAAACUCGAUGAUCAAUUCGAGAAGUUCCUGAAUAUGCUGAAAAAGCUCCAUAUCAACAUCUCUUUCAUUGAUGCAAUUUGUCAGACCCCGAUGUAUGCAAAGUUCUUGAAAGAUAUGAUAUCUAAGAAAAGAAAGCUUCCAGACUAGGAAGAAGUGGCAUUAACCGAGGAGAGCAGUGCAAGGCUUAAAAUAAAUUGCCCCCAAAACUAAGGACCUAGGAAGUUUCAUUUUACCUAUCUCACUAGGCAAAGGAUUUUAUUUUAAUGCUUUAUGUGAUAUAGGUGCAAAUGUAAAUUUAAUGUCUUCGUCUACUUUCAGGAAACCAGGAGUUAGUGAAGUCAGAUGAUCGAAUGUGACAUUGCAGUUGGUAGAUAGGAGCAUCAGAUACCCUUGGGGCAAGAUUGAGGAUGUGCUCAUCAAGGUUGGGAAGCUGAUAUUUCCCGCGGACUUCUUUGUUAUGAACCUCGAAGACGACCAAGAUAUGCUAAUAAUAUUAAGUUGACCCUUUUUAGCAACAAAUCGAACCUUGAUUGACAUGGAGAAGGGUGAGCUAACUGUGAGGGUGGAGGAUGCACAUGAGAUCUUUAAACUAUAUAAUCGAUUGAAGCAACCAUUAGUAUUGGAGGAUGUCAAAUAUGUUGCUAAAGAAGUGGAACAAGGCUCGAAGAAGACAGAGCCUAAACAUCUAGGAAGCCUUAGAUGAAAGGAGAAUGGAGAGUUCAAGGUUUGGAGGGCAAAAAGAGGACGUAAAGCUGAAAAUUGCGAGUGUAAGGUUGCAAGAUUCCAGUGUGAACUACCACAAUCAAUCCCUCUAUAUAGUCUAGCUAAAAACUAUAAACUAAGCGCUCAUUGAGAGGCAGUGCAAUUUUUCUUUUAUUUAUUUUGCUUUUUGCACCGCAUUGGAUGUAGAUUUAUUUUGAUUAUUAGUUUGCAUUAGAUUUAAGCACGUUUAAAUUUAUAAGGUAUUACCAUCCUAUUGUGUUUCCUCUUUGGCCCUUAAAUUUAUUGGUGGUUACUUCGAUUUUUUGGGCUAAGUAACACAUGUUCCAGGUUAUUUGUUCUUGAAUGUUUAGUUUGACUGUUAUGUGCAUGAAUAUGACGUCGUGAAACACUCAAACCAACAUAGGCCAAGAGAAAAGUAGGAUUAUCUAGUCGUCACCCAUAGUGCCUCACACAUUCAACAUACAAAUUUGUGGAGUACAUUCUUAAUUCUUACUUUUGCUUUAGGACAUUGAAAGACAAUGUCAGUUUUGAGUUUGGGGUGGAAAAUGCUUCGAGUAUUUUUGUGUGUUUGUUUUAGAAUACAAAUAAAUAAAUAGAUUCUUUUUUAUUAGGUUGUGUGUUUAUGUGGGUUAGACAGCCUAGCCGACAAUGAUGAUUUAAUUUGAGAUUUGAUGUCUGUUUAUGAACUAUGGAUAAGAUACAUGCUAAAUUGAUUAAAACUUAACUUUGCAGAAGUUGAUAUUAUACACGCACAAGAAUUGAGUUUUACAUCAUGAUACAAUUAGUUGAUUCAUAUGCUGAAUAGGUUGGAAGCUUGAAUAUGGAUGCCAAACCCAAACCAUACUAAAUUAUUUAUUCUUAGACCGAAUUUAGCACAGUUUGGAAGUAGGCUUACUGUUGUAGGAAAAUACAAAUGUGAAUGUAGAUUCUUUUGUGAAAAGCCAUGUGGAUUAUCUUAGACUAACAAGAUUAAAUUGGGCAAAAUUCUUAAAUUGGAAGUUGAUUUGCUCGAACAGGUGUGUGAAAAGGAGCAUUGCAUUAAUCAAGACAUAUAAUUUUUAAAACUUCUCAUUGAAACUUUUAUGACUCGAGUUAUUAAGUCUGUAAGGGUAUCUCAAAAUCAGAAAAACUAAGUGCAUAAGAAGAAUAGAAGCAAUAAAUGCUUUGAUUAAACCCUAACGCUUCUUUAAGCAAAUUUGACUUUCAAUGAAAGACAAUUAGCCUAGUCGAGCCUUGGCAGUCGAAACGAUCAAAUAAUUGGACACUGCCGACACCACCUCAGGGUUUUUGGGCAUUCUAAGUUCAUUGGAGGUGGUCCUAUUUCCAAAUUCUGACCAGAAAUGGGAGUUUCAUCUGCAUUGGAGUGCGAGCCAACAUUUUUUUGAUUGUAGAUCCAAUGCAUUCGGGGCUGUAGUUGCUGCUGAUAUUGUAGGAGCAUGUUUGGGUGUUGUUCAUGGCUUAUUUUCACCCCUUGUCAUUGAAGAAUCCAGUGGUUUUGUUGGUGGAUCGACGGUAUUGGAAUUUGUGGUUUUUUCUCCCAUUCUAGAGAGAUGGGAGAGCUUUUUAGAGAGAGUAGUUACAGGUACGAUUUAAUCGUAUUUAAAAGUUAUUGUCCAAAGAGGUCGCAACAGUUAACAAUGGACAAUUUCACUUUAGUCCUCUUGUUGUCAUGAGUCCUAAUCAGUUGAUAAAUCUUCUUACUUUCUGCAUUUUAAUUGUUCUUGAAAUGUAUCUGUAACUUAUUUUUCUCCAACAAUGUUAAUACUCAUUGGACUACAAAGAGAGCAAUCUUACAGGAAAAGUAGAUCUUGGCUCUUCUGAGCUUACAUUACGAGGCUAGUACUCAGCCAGUGGGACAAGCUUCCAUAUAGAAGGAAUUAAUAUAGAAAAUCCGAUUUGUGUCAUCUUUUUUGAUUUCUCCUGCUCCUUCAGCCAUGAUGGACUGUCCGUUAUAUCCCUCCUGUGCCGCUU